GUGUACACGUCUUACCUGUCCUUCUGCCCCCAGCCCAAGGAGUGUCCUUCCUCCACCUUCUGGGAACUGUAACAGCAGGCGCCUUGCCUCUUUCCGCCACCAGGUGGCAGCAGUGGAAGCCAUAUUCAGCCCCACUCCAUCCUUUCUCUCCCGAGCUGUGGAUUUAACCUCCAAAGAGAGCCUAAGGUUAUCCAGCGGUCCCAGACCUCCAAGGAGCUGAGGAAAGAUGGGGCCACAUUCUCUCCAAAGCACAAGAUCACCUUCCAUCUCAAAAAAUGAGAGGCUUGUGCCCCUGGCUCCUUUCCCAACACCUCCCCGGGUGAAGGCGGGGAGCUCUUGGGGUAGUAGCUGGGUGGAAGGAACACAGACUGGGGUGAUUCUCAGGAACUUGGCUACUAGAGACAUCCACAGCCACGUCCCAGCCAGGCACACUGAUUCCUAGAUAGCAACCAAGAAGACCCUUCCCAGAGUCUGAGGAUGCUAGGCGUGUAGAGGGGGAGAGAAGAGGCUGGACUAAGUGGGGAGAGGAGCCAUGACUGUUAGGCGGAUUCUUAAGCAUGGGGCCACCGAGGAAGUCUCUGGAAACAGUCUUGUCACUGGUCUGUGAACAGGUCCUGCCUUACACUGACCUGAAUAGCCCUGGGGACUUGAGCAUUCAUGGACAGGACUGACGCAAAGCAACCCUUCCCUGACUCGCAUUCUCAUCAGCUGGACUCCUCCCGGGGGACGAGGCCACCUCAGGGCAGCUUCCUUUCUUCCCGAGUUUCCACUCAAAGGCACAGGACAGGCCCUUGGAGCCCCUAAUCCCUGCGCUCCCAUCAGCGGAGCGUGUCUUUCUCCCCAACCUUAUCUGUCUCCUGCAGCCAUCGCUGACUCCCCUGCGGCCUGCCUCCCCCUCCUGUCAGCCUCUCCGCAGGUCAGCCCGUGUGUGUGUCCUCCCCUGCCUCUCCCCCUCCUCCCUGCACCUUCCUCCUCUCCCUCCCACUCCCCUCUCUCCCCUCCUCCCUACCUUGCUCCUCCUCCCCCCCCACCCUCUAUCAGAGAGAGAAAGGAGUGUGUAUUUGGAGGGGGGUGCUGUGGACAGCGGCCACUGUACUCACUCAUCUAAGGUCAGCCUUCAAAAAUCCCUUGGCCCACGUCCCUCCAAAGACGAGGAACAGCUAAUGAUACCCCCAAAGAGAGGUCCCCAGGGGCUGUUUCACAGUGGAGAUAGGAGGGGCUGGGAAUGAACACAUGACAAGAUGCAAAUAGGAACUCUGCUGCUGGAAGGGUCUGUGUCCCACCCCAGCAGCCUCCACAGACUCCCCGCCAUGUGGAGUUUGAUCCUCGGGAAAUCUUCAGUUUUCAUCUAGUUCCAGAAAGAACACCAUGCGCUGAGCCCCAUACCUGCGGGGCCCAGGGCUUGCAUUCUUGGUCUCAGGGCUGCCAUCGUCCCAUCUGGGUGGAAGGUGUGGGGUUUGAGCCAGCCCAGCUGAUGACCUGCUUCAGGGUCAGUUCCUCUGUCAGCCACUUCUCACCUGUGAGCUCCAUCAAGAGCAAGUUGCUUAAACUCUCAAAGUCUCCCCUUCUCCAUCUGUAAAAUAGGGUCACCAGGCCCACCUUAGUGGCAGGAGUUGCCGGGCACACAGCCUUUGACUACAGGAGGCAGAAUCAGAGUGUUGACAGCUGAAUGUGGCAAAAUGAACCCGGGCCAGCAGUGGGUGACAAGGAUAGUGAUGCCCAUUCUCCCGCCCACCGCCGGCUCCUGCCUGGCCCAGAGAAGAGGUGCCACUGGGAUUUACAAAACUCCAUCCUGCCAAACAGCCAGAAACACUGGAGGGAAUUAGACAGGCCAGGCAUGACUUGGGAAGGGCCCUCCUCAGGGACCUCACUCCUUGUAAGUGACAGGAGGUGGGAUGGAAGUUGUGUAGGCAGGGACUGGGUAACUAGGACGGGGUCAAGGACCAGAAGCAACAGUGGUGUGAAAGCGCCGCACAUGAUGGUGCUCAGCGAGGGCUCUUUCCUUGGAGUUCUGUCGCCUCCAGGGCUGAGGAUAAACUCAGGGCAAGUCCGAGUCCAGAUGCUGCUCAGGACAUGAUUGAGAAAGGAGAGGGGUGAUGGUGCACCCCAUCUCAAGCUCAGAGAGAAGGUGCCCAUACAAGGAGCUCCGAGUGUCGGCCCCAGAGGCUCCCCCAAAUUGGCAGACACCUCUACAGACACAGAUAGACAAAUGGACAGAGAUGGAGCGCCUCCCCUCCUCUGUGCCCAGAGGCAUCUUGAGUACGUGUGGCUGGAGUGGUCUGCUGAGGUGUGGUCAUGGUGGCCUUGAAUGCCAGGGCCAGGAGAGGUGGUAAUACAGAUGUUCGCUGCAGCUGGAAGCACAGUAAGCUGGUGCGGGCAUGGAGACGUGACUGCGUGCAUGUGUUUAUGCAUAUGGAGGCUCAGCAAGGUGUGUGUGUGUGCAUGUGCGUGUGUGUGUGUGUGUGUGAAUGCAUGGUGGGUGGGUGCGUGCAUCCUUUCCUGCUGCCCUGAAAGCACUCCUGCACUGCUGUGCUCCCAGGUGGGCAGGCAGGGGUCUACCCAGGCACUGAGGCACCCUAGCUGUCCGCCUGCCCACCCCCUCAACCGCCUCUGCCAACGGGCCACGUGGGCAAUGAACACAUCAGGUCAUUAAACAGCAGAUCAAUUCAA